AGUGAACGCUGGCGGUAGGCCUAACACAUGCAAGUCGAACGGCAGCACAGUAAGAGCUUGCUCUUACGGGUGGCGAGUGGCGGACGGGUGAGGAAUACAUCGGAAUCUACUUUUUCGUGGGUGAUAACGUAGGGAAACUUACGCUAAUACCGCAUACGACCUACGGGUGAAAGCAGUGGAUCUUCGUACCUUGCGCGAUUGACUGAGCCGAUGUCGGAUUAGCUAGUUGGCGGGGUAAAGGCCCACCAAGGCGACGAUCCGUAGCUGGUCUGAGAGGAUGAUCAGCCACACUGGAACUGAGACACGGUCCAGACUCCUACGGGAGGCAGCAGUGGGGAAUAUUGGACAAUGGGCGCAAGCCUGAUCCAGCCAUACCGCGUGGGUGAAGAAGGCCUUCGGGUUGUAAAGCCCUUUUGUUGGGAAAGAAAAGCAGCAGGUUAAUACCCCGCUGUUCUGACGGUACCCAAAGAAUAAGCACCGGCUAACUUCGUG
rnacentral:rRNA from 1 species